rnacentral:piRNA from 1 species
UCUUUCUAUUGGUUUCGGUCUUUCGCC